rnacentral:rRNA from 1 species
GACGAACGCUGGCGGCGUGCCUAAUACAUGCAAGUAGAACGCUGAAGGAGGAGCUUGCUCUUCUGGAUGAGUUGCGAACGGGUGAGUAACGCGUAGGUAACCUGCCUGGUAGCGGGGGAUAACUAUUGGAAACGAUAGCUAAUACCGCAUAAUAGUAGAUGUUGCAUGAUAUUUACUUAAAAGGUGCAAUUGCACCACUACCAGAUGGACCUGCGUUGUAUUAGCUAGUUGGUGGGGUAACGGCUCACCAAGGCGACGAUACAUAGCCGACCUGAGAGGGUGGUCGGCCACACUGGGACUGAGACACGGCCCAGACUCCUACGGGAGGCAGCAGUAGGGAAUCUUCGGCAAUGGACGAAAGUCUGACCGAGCAACGCCGCGUGAGUGAAGAAGGGUUUCGGAUCGUAAAGCUCUGUUGUAAGAGAAGAACGAGUGUGAGAGUGGAAAGUUCACACUGUGACGGUAUCUUACCAGAAAGGGACGGCUAACUACGUG